rnacentral:rRNA from 1 species
CGGAACGGGUGAGUAAUGCGUGACCAACCUGCCCCAUGCUCCAGAAUAGCUCUUGGAAACGGGUGGUAAUGCUGGAUGCUCCAACUUGACGCAUGUCUUGUUGGGAAAGUGUUUAGUGGCAUGGGAUGGGGUCGCGCCCUAUCAGCUUGUAGGCGGGGUAAUGGCCCACCUAGGCUUCGACGGGUAGCCGGCCUGAGAGGGCGGACGGCCACAUUGGGACUGAGAUACGGCCCAGACUCCUACGGGAGGCAGCAGC